rnacentral:rRNA from 1 species
CCUUGUACACACCGCCCGUCACACCAUGGGAGUGGGUUUCACCAGAAACAGGUUGCCUAACCGCAAGGGGGGCGCCUACCACGGUGAGAUUCAUGACUGGGGUG